CCGCCCGGCCCGAGGAACCUGCGUCGGGCCGAGCGGUCCAGACCCGGGCGGGUCUCCCUGGGCUGGCGUGGGGAACGGCGGUGCAAGGACCCGCUUUCCGUCCAGCGGCCGUCGGUCACGAGUCACAUCAAACCAUCUGCAAGUCACCUCCCUUGCCUUUCUGGACCAUCCACAGCAGAGCCUGGGAAGAAUUUCUGCCUGUGAUUCUCAGAAGUAUCUAGUCUGUUCCCAGAGCUAAGUUCCUGGAAUCUCCACUGAACCCAGCACUUCACUCCAGAUGUGGCUGAGGGAAGAAAAUCUCCUGCGAAGUGCAAGGCUGACACCUGGAGGGGACUGCUGUGAUGCAGCCAGGGGAGUCUGGAAGGGACAGACAGACAGACAGAUUCUGCAGCACACAGGUUGGGGUAGGAAAGCUCAGGGGGGGUGGCGAGG